AUGAACGCUGGCGGCGUGCCUAAUACAUGCAAGUCGAGCGAACGGACGAGAAGCUUGCUUCUCUGAUGUUAGCGGCGGACGGGUGAGUAACACGUGGAUAACCUACCUAUAAGACUGGGAUAACUUCGGGAAACCGGAGCUAAUACCGGAUAAUAUUUUGAACCGCAUGGUUCAAAAGUGAAAGACGGUCUUGCUGUCACUUAUAGAUGGAUCCGCGCUGCAUUAGCUAGUUGGUAAGGUAACGGCUUACCAAGGCAACGAUGCAUAGCCGACCUGAGAGGGUGAUCGGCCACACUGGAACUGAGACACGGUCCAGACUCCUACGGGAGGCAGCAGUAGGGAAUCUUCCGCAAUGGGCGAAAGCCUGACGGAGCAACGCCGCGUGAGUGAUGAAGGUCUUCGGAUCGUAAAACUCUGUUAUUAGGGAAGAACAUAUGUGUAAGUAACUGUGCACAUCUUGACGGUACCCAAUCAGAAAGCCACGGCUAACUACGUG
rnacentral:rRNA from 1 species